AGAAUCAACGCUGGCGGCGUGCCUAACACAUGCAAGUCGAACGAGAAAGUGGAGCAAUCCAUGAGUAAAGUGGCGCACGGGUGAGUAACACGUGACUAACCUACCCUUGAGUGGGGGAUAACCUAGGGAAACCUGGGCUAAUACCGCAUAAUACCGAGAGGUCAAAGGAGCAAUUCGCUUAAGGAGGGGUCGCGGCCGAUUAGUUAGUUGGCGGGGUAAUGGCCCACCAAGACUAUGAUCGGUAUCCGGCCUGAGAGGGCGCACGGACACACUGGAACUGAAACACGGUCCAGACUCCUACGGGAGGCAGCAGUGGGGAAUUUGCGCAAUGGGGGAAACCCUGACGCAGCAACGCCGCGUGGAGGAUGAAGUCCCUUGGGACGUAAACUCCCUUCGAUCGGGACGAUUAUGACGGUACCGAGAGAAGAAGCCCCGGCUAACUUCGCGCCAGCAGCCGC
rnacentral:rRNA from 1 species